rnacentral:rRNA from 1 species
AGAGNAAGUAAAAGUCGUAACAAGGUCUCCGUUGGUGAACCAGCGGAGGGAUCAUUACCGAGUUUACAACUCCCAAACCCCUGUGAACAUACCUUAAUGUUGCCUCGGCGGAUCAGCCCGCGCCCCGUAAAACGGGACGGCCCGCCAGAGGACCCAAACUCUAAUGUUUCUUAUUGUAACUUCUGAGUAAAACAAACAAAUAAAUCAAAACUUUCAACAACGGAUCUCUUGGUUCUGGCAUCGAUGAAGAACGCAGCAAAAUGCGAUAAGUAAUGUGAAUUGCAGAAUUCAGUGAAUCAUCGAAUCUUUGAACGCACAUUGCGCCCGCUGGUAUUCCGGCGGGCAUGCCUGUUCGAGCGUCAUUUCAACCCUCAAGCCCCCGGGUUUGGUGUUGGGGAUCGGCUCUGCCCUUNUGGGCGGUNCCGCCCCCGAAAUACAUUGGCGGUCUCGCUGCAGCCUCCAUUGCGUAGUAGCUUAACNCCUCGCAACUGGNACGCGGCGCGGCCAUGCCGU